rnacentral:rRNA from 1 species
GUAGGGAAUAUUGGGCAAUGGAUGCAAGUCUGACCCAGCCAUCCCGCGUGCCGGAAGAAGGCCCUCAGGGUUGUAAACGGCUUUUGACGGUGAAGAAUCGACAGGAUGCGUCCUGUUUUGACGGUAGCCGUUGAAUAAGCACCGGCUAACUCCGUGCCAGCAGCCGCGAUAAUACGGAGGGUGCGAGCGUUGUCCGGAUUUAUUGGGUUUAAAGGGUGCGUAGGCUGGAAGGUCAGUCAGCGGUGAAAAGCUGUCGCUUAACGAUAGUCUUGCCGCAGAUACUUCCUUUCUUGGAUGAGGAGGAGGCCACUGGAACGGAUGGUGUAGCGGUGAAAUGCAUAGAUAUCAUCCAGAACACCGAUUGCGAAGGCAGGUGGCUGUACCUUAAUCGACGCUGAUGCACGAAAGCAUGGGGAGCAAACAGGAUUAGAAACCCUAGUAGUCC